GCGGGCAUCGUAUAGUGGUAGUACGUGACCUUCCCAAGGUUAAAGCGUGGGUUCGAUUCCCAUUGCCCGCUCAA
rnacentral:tRNA from 2 species